rnacentral:rRNA from 1 species
CAGUAGCCGCGGUAAUACGUAGGGUGCAAGCGUUAAUCGGAAUUACUGGGCGUAAAGCGUGCGCAGGCGGUUAUGUAAGACAGUUGUGAAAUCCCCGGGCUCAACCUGGGAACUGCAUCUGUGACUGCAUAGCUAGAGUACGGUAGAGGGGGAUGGAAUUCCGCGUGUAGCAGUGAAAUGCGUAGAUAUGCGGAGGAGCACCGAUGGCGAAGGCAAUCCCCUGGACCUGUACUGACGCUCAUGCACGAAAGCGUGGGGAGCAAACAGGAUUAGAUACCCCCGUAGUCCCUGUCUCUUAUAC